rnacentral:rRNA from 1 species
AUGAACGCUAGCGACAGGCCUAACACAUGCAAGUCGAGGGGCAGCACAAGGAGCAAUCUGAGGUGGCGACCGGCGCACGGGUGAGUAACACGUAUGCAACCUGCCUGUAAGCGGGGAAUAACCCGUUGAAAGACGGACUAAUACCGCAUAAUACUAAAUUACUGCAUGGUAAUUUAUUUAAACAUUUAUGGCUUACAGAUGGGCAUGCGCAUGAUUAGCUAGUUGGAGAGGUAACGGCUCCCCAAGGCAACGAUCAUUAGAGGUUCUGAGAGGAAGGUCCCCCACACUGGUACUGAGACACGGACCAGACUCCUACGGGAGGCAGCAGUGAGGAAUAUUGGUCAAUGGACGAGAGUCUGAACCAGCCAAGUCGCGUGCAGGAAGAAUGUCCCUAUGGAUUGUAAACUGCUUUUGCAGGGGAAUAAAGUGCAUCACGUGUGAUGUUUUGUAUGUACUCUGCGAAUAAGGAUCGGCUAACUCCGUGCCAGCCGCCGC